GAUGAAGAACGUAGCGAAAUGCGAUACGUAAUGUGAAUUGCAAAUUCAGUGAAUCAUCGAGUCUUUGAACGCACAUUGCGCCCCCGGGUAUUCCGGGGGGCAUGCCUGUCCGAGCGUCAUUGCUGCCCUCAAGCACGGCUUGUGUGUUGGGCCCCGUCCUCCGAUCCCGGGGGACGGGCCCGAAAGGCAGCGGCGGCACCGCGUCCGGUCCUCGAGCGUAUGGGGCUUUGUCACCCGCUCUGUAGGCCCGGCCGGCGCUUGCCGAUCAACCCAAAUUUUUAUCCAGGUUGACCUCGGAUCAGGUAGGGAUACCCGCUGAACUUAAGCAUAUCAAUAAGCGGAGGA
rnacentral:misc_RNA from 1 species